AGAGUUUGAUCCUGGCUCAGGAUGAACGCUAGCUACAGGCUUAACACAUGCAAGUCGUGGGGCAGCGGAUACUUAGCUUGCUAAGUAUGCCGGCGACCGGCGCACGGGUGAGUAACGCGUACCGAACCUGCCCAUCACACAGGGAUAGGCUUGCGAAAGCAAGAUUAAUACCUGAUGGUCUCAGUUGUAUGCAUGUAUAAUUGAGUAAAGCCUUCGGGCGGUGAUGGAUGGCGGUGCGUCCCAUUAGGAAGUUGGCGGGGUAACGGCCCACCAAUCCUUCGAUGGGUAGGGGUUCUGAGAGGAAGGUCCCCCACAUUGGAACUGAGAUACGGUCCAAACUCCUACGGGAGGCAGCAGUGAGGAAUAUUGGUCAAUGGGCGAGAGCCUGAACCAGCCAAGUAGCGUGCAGGAUGACGGCCCUAUGGGUUGUAAACUGCUUUUAUAAGGGAAUAAAGUGAGUCUCGUGAGACUUUUUGCAUGUACCUUAUGAAUAAGGACCGGCUAAUUCCGUGCCAGCAGCCGCGGUAAUACGGAAGGUCCGGGCGUUAUCCGGAAUUAUUGGGUUUAAAGGGAGCGCAGGCGGGAGUAUAAGUCAGCUGUUAAAUAUCAGGGCCCAACUCUGUUAUGCAGUUGAAACUAUAUUUCUUGAGUACGCACAGGGAUGGCGGAAUUCAGGGUGUAGCGGUGAAAUGCUUAGAUAUCCUGAAGAACUCCGAUCGCGAAGGCAGCCAUCCGGAGCGUAACUGACGCUGAGGCUCGAAGGUGCGGGUAUCGAACAGGAUUAGAUACCCUGGUAGUCCGCACGGUAAACGAUGAAUACUCGCAGUUCGGCCGUUUAGGUCGAGUUGUCCAGCGAAAGCGUUAAGUAUUCCACCUGGGGAGUACGCCGGCAACGGUGAAACUCAAAGGAAUUGACGGGGGCCC
rnacentral:rRNA from 1 species